GACGAACGCUGGCGGCGCGCCUAACACAUGCAAGUCGAACGAGCGAGAGAGAGCUUGCUUUCUCAAGCGAGUGGCGAACGGGUGAGUAACGCGUGAGGAACCUGCCUCAAAGAGGGGGACAACAGUUGGAAACGACUGCUAAUACCGCAUAAGCCCACAGGUCGGCAUCGACCAGAGGGAAAAGGAGCAAUCCGCUUUGAGAUGGCCUCGCGUCCGAUUAGCUAGUUGGUGAGGUAACGGCCCACCAAGGCGACGAUCGGUAGCCGGACUGAGAGGUUGAACGGCCACAUUGGGACUGAGACACGGCCCAGACUCCUACGGGAGGCAGCAGUGGGGAAUAUUGCACAAUGGGGGAAACCCUGAUGCAGCGACGCCGCGUGGAGGAAGAAGGUCUUCGGAUUGUAAACUCCUGUUGUUGAGGAAGAUAAUGACGGUACUCAACAAGGAAGUGACGGCUAACUACGUGCCAGCAGCCGCGGUAAAACGUAGGUCACAAGCGUUGUCCGGAAUUACUGGGUGUAAAGGGAGCGCAGGCGGGAAGACAAGUUGGAAGUGAAAUCUAUGGGCUCAACCCAUAAACUGCUUUCAAAACUGUUUUUCUUGAGUAGUGCAGAGGUAGGCGGAAUUCCCGGUGUAGCGGUGGAAUGCGUAGAUAUCGGGAGGAACACCAGUGGCGAAGGCGGCCUACUGGGCACCAACUGACGCUGAGGCUCGAAAGUGUGAGUAGCAAACAGG
rnacentral:rRNA from 1 species